UACGAAGGGUGCAAACGUUGCUCGGAAUUAUUGGGCGUAAAGCGCACGUAGGCGGCAUUGCAAGUCGGAUGUGAAAUCCCUCGGCUUAACCAAGGAAGUGCAUCCGAAACUGCAGUGCUUGAGUACGAAAGAGGAUCGCGGAAUUCCCGGUGUAGAGGUGAAAUUCGUAGAUAUCGGGAGGAACACCAGUGGCGAAGGCGGCGAUCUGGGUCGAUACUGACGCUGAGGUGCGAAAGCGUGGGGAGCAAACA
rnacentral:rRNA from 1 species